rnacentral:rRNA from 1 species
UACGGGGGGGGCAAGCGUUGUUCGGAAUUACUGGGCGUAAAGGGCGCGUAGGCGGCUCUUCAAGUCAGCCGUGAAAUCUCCAGGCUUAACCUGGAAGGGUCGGUUGAUACUGUCGAGCUAGAGUGUGGAAGAGGCAACUGGAAUUCCGUGUGUAGCGGUGAAAUGCGUAGAUAUACGGAGGAACACCUGCGGCGAAGGCGGGUUGCUGGGCCAACACUGACGCUGAGGCGCGAAAGCUAGGGUAGCAAACGGG